UGUAGGACUGCGCUGUGGGAAGUCAAGAUUAUAGAAGAAUUACCUGGGAAGGUAAGCCAAAGAGAGUAACAGCCUCGUAUUCGAAAUAGUCUUAAACCCUAGCAGUAUCCUGAGUACGGCGAGACACGAGAAAUCUCGUUGGAAUCUGGGAGGACCAUCUCCCAACCCUAAAUACUCUCUAGUGACCGAUAGUGAACCAGUACCGUGAGGGAAAGGUGAAAAGCACCCCGGGAGGGGAGUGAAAUAGAACCUGAAACCGUGUGCCUACAACAAGUUCGAGCCCGUUAAUGGGUGAGAGCGUGCCUUUUGUAGAAUGAACCGGCGAGUUACGAUAUGAUGCGAGGUUAAGUUGAAGAGACGGAGCCGUAGGGAAACCGAGUCUUAAUAGGGCGAAUUAGUAUCAUGUCGUAGACCCGAAACCAUGUGACCUACCCAUGAGCAGGGUGAAGGUGAGGUAAAACUCACUGGAGGCCCGAACCAGGGCACGUUGAAAAGUGCUUGGAUGACUUGUGGGUAGCGGAGAAAUUCCAAACGAACUUGGAGAUAGCUGGUUCUCUCCGAAAUAGCUUUAGGGCUAGCGUCGAUGUUAAGUCUCUUGGAGGUAGAGCACUGUUUGAUUGAGGGGUCCAUCCCGGAUUACCAAUAUCAGAUAAACUCCGAAUGCCAACGAGAUAUAAUCGGCAGUCAGACUGCGAGUGCUAAGAUCCGUAGUCGAAAGGGAAACAGCCCAGACCACCAGCUAAGGUCCCAAAAUAUAUGUUAAGUGGAAAAGGAUGUGGGGUUGCACAGACAACUAGGAUGUUAGCUUAGAAGCAGCUAUUCAUUCAAAGAGUGCGUAAUAGCUCACUAGUCGAGUGACCCUGCGCCGAAAAUGUACCGGGGCUAAAACAUAUUACCGAAGCUGUGGAUACCUUUUAGGUAUGGUAGGAGAGCGUUCUAUGUGUGAUGAAGGUGUACCGUGAGGAGCGCUGGAACGCAUAGAAGUGAGAAUGCCGGUAUGAGUAGCGAAAGACAGGUGAGAAUCCUGUCCACCGUAUGACUAAGGUUUCCAGGGGAAGGCUCGUCCUCCCUGGGUUAGUCGGGACCUAAGGAGAGACCGAAAGGUGUAUCCGAUGGACAACAGGUUGAUAUUCCUGUACUAGAGUAUAUAGUGAUGGAGGGACGCAGUAGGCUAACUAAAGCGUGCGAUUGGAAGUGCACGUCUAAGCAGUGAGGUGUGAUGUGAGUCAAAUGCUUACGUCUAUAACAUUGAGCUGUGAUGGGGAGCGAAUUUAAGUAGCGAAGUUAGUGAUGUCACACUGCCAAGAAAAGCUUCUAGCGUUAAUUAUACUCUACCCGUACCGCAAACCGACACAGGUAGUCGAGGCGAGUAGCCUCAGGUGAGCGAGAGAACUCUCGUUAAGGAACUCGGCAAAAUGGCCCCGUAACUUCGGGAGAAGGGGCGCUGGCUUUAAGUCAGCCGCAGUGAAUAGGCCCAAGCAACUGUUUAUCAAAAACACAGCUCUCUGCUAAAUCGUAAGAUGAUGUAUAGGGGGUGACGCCUGCCCGGUGCUGGAAGGUUAAGAGGAGCGCUUAGCAUUAGCGAAGGUGUGAAUUGAAGCCCCAGUAAACGGCGGCCGUAACUAUAACGGUCCUAAGGUAGCGAAAUUCCUUGUCGGGUAAGUUCCGACCCGCACGAAAGGCGUAAUGAUUUGGGCACUGUCUCAACGAGAGACUCGGUGAAAUUUUAGUACCUGUGAAGAUGCAGGUUACCCGCGACAGGACGGAAAGACCCCAUGGAGCUUUACUGCAGUUUGAUAUUGAGUAUCUGUACCACAUGUACAGGAUAGGUAGGAGCCUAAGAAGCCGGGACGCUAGUUUCGGUGGAGGCGUUGUUGGGAUACUACCCUUGUGUUAUGGCUACUCUAACCCAGAUAGGUGAUCCCUAUCGGAGACAGUGUCUGACGGGCAGUUUGACUGGGGCGGUCGCCUCCUAAAAGGUAACGGAGGCGCCCAAAGGUUCCCUCAGAAUGGUUGGAAAUCAUUCGCAGAGUGUAAAGG
rnacentral:rRNA from 1 species